CUUAAUUAAAUUAGUGAUAUUAUUAAGUUGAAUUUUAAUUUAUUUAUUUCCUUGGUACAAAGUGCUUAUACGGAUGAUAAAUCAAGCAAAUCCCCCAAUCCCCAAUGCACAGAUUGCUAGCUGACCCUCACCAUCGAUGCACAAAGUGGUCUCAGAGUCUUCCCAGGACUCUUCCAUUAUAGAAACUCGAGCACUUGGGCCAGCCUCAUUUGCAGUAUUAUCUCCAUGGGUUUCAGGGCAGGACUUCAAGGACAGGAUUCGCUAGAACAGCCCACCUUUUUGCAUUGAUAUGAGAUAUAUAUAAAGUGUAUGAAUUUAAAUUAAAUUUAAUUAAUAGUCAAUAAACAUAUCUUCCUAUGAGCUCGAGUCUCUAUGUAUCCUACAAUAGACUUUUUUUUUUAAAUAAUAAUGAUUAAUACAUAUAUAAAUAUUGCUCCUAUAAUUUUAGCCUUGACCUAUGCAAAUAUACUAAUUAUUUCAAAAAAAUACAAUAAAAUUUGAAAACUCUUAUUUAUAAAUCGUCAAUUAAAUAUAAAAAAUAUUAAUCUAUCCGCUUAAUGAUUCAUCAAGUUUAUAUCCGAUCACACAAAAAACUUCUCCGAUCAAGGACUAACGGGUUUUAAC
rnacentral:misc_RNA from 1 species